rnacentral:rRNA from 1 species
GGUGCUUGCACCCCGCUGACGAGCGGCGGACGGGUGAGUAAUGCAUAGGAAAUUGCCCAGUAGUGGGGGAUAGCCCGGGGAAACCCGGAUUAAUACCGCAUACGUCCUUCGGGAGAAAGCAGGGGAUCUUCGGACCUUGCGCUAUUGGAUGUGCCUAUGUCGGAUUAGCUAGUUGGUGGGGUAAAGGCCUACCAAGGCGACGAUCCGUAGCUGGUCUGAGAGGAUGAUCAGCCACAUCGGGACUGAGACACGGCCCGAACUCCUACGGGAGGCAGCAGUGGGGAAUAUUGGACAAUGGGGGCAACCCUGAUCCAGCCAUGCCGCGUGUGUGAAGAAGGCUUUCGGGUUGUAAAGCACUUUCAGUGAGGAGGAAAACCUUAUGGUUAAUACCCAUGAGGCUUGACGUUACUCACAGAAGAAGCACCGGCUAACUCCGUGCCAGCAGCCGCGGCAAUACGGAGGGUGCAAGCGUUAAUCGGAAUUACUGGGCGUAAAGCGCGCGUAGGUGGUUUGAUAAGCGAGAUGUG